UAUUCUCCCACCUACUUCUAUCCUUGGGUGAGUGAAUGGCCAAUACAAAUGACUGAAGCUUGAUAUUCUUUUUGGCAAAUUAUAAGAGGAUGAGCUGUAUUCCUCUAAAAGAAUGGCCAUAUGUCUGUGUCUCUCAAAAAAGAAGGGGAGGCGGGGAAUGGGCUCCACUCUUCCUCCUUUCAUUGCUUGCCCUUUGAUCGUUGAGAAGGACCACUUCCUCCUUGCUUUCUAUACCCAAUGCAGGUCUUUCUCUGAUGUUGGUGAUGGGGGUGGAGACAGGCAUUUUCACUUUCUGUUCUAGCUUUUUCACCAUCGGUCUCCUCCACUCCGUUGGUCUUUCUGUCCUCAAUUUGGAGUAGAAGAUAUGAAGUCAAACCACAUUCUCCAAUCUAGCUGUUCCCAGGAAGCCUAAACCUCAGGCAUGGGGCUAUUUAGGUGAUUGCUUAGUCCACUGAUGAAACCAAUAUUUGGAUUCUUGGUCAGAUGUCCAUUCUGGCAUGUCUCCUCUAAUGGCCACAGCAAUGGAGAAGAAGAUGGCUGUGAUCUCCACCAUCUACUAGAGAAUAACAACAACAAUAAUAAUACAGAGGUUCUCGGAAAACAAAGAGGAGGCAGAAGUAGCAUCUCGCUCAGGAAGCUGCAGGUGGAGACAGCUGCUGCAGAAUUCUAUUACCUUCACGAGACCUGUUGCCCUUAAGGGGAGAUGAUGGCCAAUGUCAGCCUUAAAACCACGGCAAGUUAUAGAGACCAGCAUGACUCAAACACAAGAUCUUAUUACAACUAAGAACUACAUAACCACCACACCAUACUUCCUCUAAUAAACAUGUCUGUGGGAGCUAAUACCAGCACAACCCAGAGAAAAAAAUAAAUGAACUAACACCUCCUCCUUGGACCCAUGGCCUCUUCCUGCCUGCUUCUGUAACGUGCUAUUAUUGAUUGGCAAGUCAGAAGGGACACUGGUUCAGCAGCCUGCUGUCUGUGGGAGGAUGACUCCUUUCUCCACCUGGUGUCUUGGUUGACCCCUCAGGAGUUGUGGCUGAAGGUUCAGCAUUGAACAGUUUUGAAUGCCUAGGUUUCGUCCUAGAAUCUCCCUCAAGUCCAGCAGUAAUGAAGCAAUUGCAUGUCCUGCCAUAAUAGAUCUGAAUCAAAGUGAAGCCAAUGUUCUCUUCUUUCCACGGAGCACAGAGCGUACUGGGGUUUAGAUGAAUGAGGAGGCUUUUGUGCAGUGCCCUGAUCAGAGGGCUGGAAGCUCCAUCAUUUGGCAGAGAGCAACUCUAAGUGCUUUCCCUGCGCUGUUUGCCAUUUGCAUUUGAAUUUCGAUUGCUAAGGAUUUUAAGCUUUGUUGGUGAAUUUCUAAUCCUUUCUUUCAAAGUUCCUGCUUCAGCUGAUGUCUUAUUUUUUUAUGCAUUUAGAAUUAAUCCAACAACUGCUAAAAAAAAGCAGAAAGUUGUACUCCUACUAAGUAUUGUGCACAUAGCAUUAGACUCCAGGGGUCUUAGGAUAAACAAGACAUGGAUUUUUGCUCUCAAAUAACUCUUAUAAUGUUUUUUUAAAGGUUCUUUUAAUUCAGAAUGUCACUGUAUUGCCUUAUUAGUCUUAUUUUAUUUAUAGUAUUUAUCAGUAUGGGACUGUAUUAUUUUUACCGAUAUACUUAUUUUCCAUUUCCCCACCAGAAUGAAGCUCUGUGAAGGCAUGGAUCUUGUCUGUUAUGCUCACCACUGUGUUAUCAGACCCAGAAUAGUGCCUGAUGCACUGUAGACAUCCAUAAACAAUGAGUAAUCUAUAGCCAGCAAACAGUGGUACAGUGCAUGCAAUGUACACUGAGUGGUUUGAGAACAUUAUGUCUUUUUUUCUCUAAGGACACUGGUGUAAUGACUGAAUUAGACACUAGUUCACCUUAUACACUUCUGUUUUCUUAAGAGAGACUUUGGAACACGUGUUAAAACCCAUCUGAACCUGCAGUGUUCUAAUGGUUGGAGUGAAUUCUACAAAUUCUCCCUAGAAUCCUUCUUUUAUUUGGGCUGCUAUAACAGAAUCCUAUAGACUAGGUGGCUUAAACAACAAACAUUUAUUUCUCAUACUUCUGGAGGCUGGGAAGUCCAAGAUCAGAGUGCCUGCAGAUUUAUAGUCUAGUGAGAGCUCGCUUCCUGGUUCAUAGAUGGCUUUUUGCUGUCUUCACAUGGCGGAGGGGGUGAGGAAGCUCUUUGGGGCCAUUUUGGGAAAUUCUAUAAUCAGAAUUGGCUUCUGCCUUGCACAUGACUUCUGUGGCAAAAAUUCUGUCUCCUAACCCUCUUCACCCUCUGAGGAAAAUACAUCUUUCCAUGAUUUCUGGUAUUAGAGUAAGAAAAACAUCUGGUAUCAGGUGGUAUGAAUACAUACUCCUGGGCCUUUGAUUUAUAGCCUUGAAUGCACACAGAACAUGCUUAUGCACAAAUGUACAUGCAUAUGUUGUGCGAAUGGGCAGAGGAGUGGGGGUUGCACUCUGUGGAAUUCGAACUGCUAGUUUUUCUGCACUGGGCAUUUCCUGUAUUGGUUGACCCGGAUGGUGAGAAUAUCUUUGGCAUCCAUAAUAGCUUUGACCGCUGAGAAUGUUAACAGUGAGUUUUAUGAACUAUGGCCUUUUCUUGGGACUGUUAAAUGUGUCAAGUUGGGUGUAGUUAAGAGGUAGUCAUAGUAACUUAUUUUUAAGGUCUCUGCAUAUAAGAUGCCUCCAUAGUAUUACGUCAUAUAAAAAUUUCCCCAAGUUCCAGUGUUGACAGAUGGUGCUGCUCUGCAAUAUAAGCAGCAAUGUCCUCACGAGACUAUUGAUUUUGUUUGUGAAAUAUAAAUCCCUAAACAGUGACUGAUGGGCUGGUGAGAAGUGCUUCUUUAAUAAUUCAAUAAUUUCAUUAAAUGAUCUGGUCUUCUGUGAAACAGGAGUGGUGAGAGACCUGGCUGUGGAUUACACUUAAGUCUCAAUAAAAACACGACCGUGAUCUCCUUUGUUCAUGUUUAUUUUUGUUCAUGUUUCUCUAUGUCUUCAAGAUAAAGUGAAGUCCUUCAGCAUACGAAUUCCAAGAAAUAGAGCAAAUGACAUCAAAUUCUUUAGUGUGACUCGCAGCAGCCAUUUUAAGCUCAGUCUGCCCAGAUUCAAAGCAAUGGCUUCGUUCAUUUGCUUACUAGGUAGGCUUGGACAUUGAUUUAUUUUGCCUCUGCUACUUACCUUUCUUUUUUCUUAGUGGGCUGUCAUCUCAAUAGAGAAUGUACUGUUUGUAGGGAGUAGAAGCAAGAUGAUUCCAACACGGAACUUUAUUAUAGCUAAGAAUGUCAUAAUCACC
ensembl:lncRNA